AAGCUACUAAGUCUAUAUCGGGGAGGACGCUAGCAUCUGGCACUUGGUUAACUUAGAGCCUGCUGUUUAAGUCACAAUUCUGAUCUAUAUCUCUAAUUUGAUAUUUUGCAUGAAUCAUGGGAUUUAAACGAUGCUUGAUUCAAAUUUCUUUGGCAUUUCAAUUAAGCCAGUGCUGAGUUGAUAAGAUAUGGAAAAUGCUAGUCUGGCCUAGGGAAACCUGAGUGAUUGAAUAGUUAUUCUUACUAUGUGGGUUGUUAAUGGUGGAUAGCGUAGUGUAGCGGCAAGCCCAAAAAGCGCUAUUGCGGUGCUAUAGCGGCAAAUAGCGGUGAAUAGCGAAGUAGCGGUGAACCCCUAGGGCGCUACUCUAUAGGCUAUUGAGCCGCUAUAGCGCGCUAUUAACAAGCCUGAUUUUGUCAUUCUCUUGAAAUGUUUGUUAAUAGUCAUGCCUGGUUAAUAGUUAUGCCUGGUUGUUUUCUUCAUUUGUUAUUUCUUGUGAGUUUUCUCUGUAGAAUUUUGUAAAUUUUUUUGAGAUUUAAGAACAGUCUUCAAAUUGCAGAUCUAGUCUCCACAAGAAGUUAGUCACCUUUGAACUUUAUAAGUCAUUUUUGCUUUAAAGAACUUGUUUCCUGUCCGAAAAGAAAAAACAUAUAUGUGAUCUGCACAUAUUCUAAGUGAUUCUAUUAUUUAAAAGUGGUGUUUGCAUAAACUUCUUAUAUCAACUUUUAUAUCUCUUAAAAGAUCUAAAGCAAUUUCUCUAAGCUUCUGCAAUUUCAGCUUUUGAGAAACCUGAUUCCAAAAAUUAUCUGCACAAAAGUAGCCCUGUCAAAAUUUUAAAACUAUCAUUCAUGUCCUGUUUCAAUGCCAUACCAAUCUGAAAACCCUAGUACAUAAUGAUAACUAUCGGUGAACUGUGAUACUAAUGCUGCGGUUUGCAUUGCUACUGCUGCUGUAGGUUGCAAAUGCACUGCUUUUUUGCCAACCUUUGCUUACUGUUGUUGCUGAGAAAACUGAGUGUGAAUCCAAUGAUUGUGAAAUUGGAUUCACAAUUUGGCUGCUAACUCGCCCUUCUUCAAACUUCCUUCACCUCUGUUGCGAUGUCACCAUCCGUUUGCUCUGAAAUAAAAUUAUGUAAAUUUAGACCAUAGCUAGCAAUAAUCUUUUCUUUUUCCCUAUUAUUUAUUGUUUUUAAUGUAUUGAUUUGAUCAACCUUAAAUUGUGAAUGAACGCUUCAAUAUGUAUAGCAAGGCCAGAUAAUGAAUUUUGAAAUUAAGUGGUUUUUUUUUUUUUGCAAUAUUAUGAGAGAAAAUUUGCUUCUUACUUGGUUGAAGGAAGGCAUCAAAAUGUGUUGGUUCCUCUUGCUGGUUAAGGCACACA